GGCAGCGUAGCUCAGUCGGUUAGAGCGCGGGACUCAUAAGCCCGAGGUCGCAGGUUCAAUCCCUGCCGCUGCUACCA
rnacentral:tRNA from 3 species